UACGUAGGGAGCAAGCGUUGUCCGGAAUCAUUGGGCGUAAAGCGCGCGUAGGCGGCCCGGUAAGUCCGUUGUGAAAGUCAAAGGCUCAACCUUUGAAAGCCGAUGGAUACUGCCGGGCUAGAGUCCGGAAGAGGCGAGUGGAAUUCCUGGUGUAGCGGUGGAAUGCGCAGAUAUCAGGAGGAACACCCAUAGCGAAGGCAGCUCGCUGGGACGGUACUGACGCUGAGGCGCGAAAGCGUGGGGAGCGAACAGG
rnacentral:rRNA from 1 species